rnacentral:rRNA from 1 species
CUACGGGGGGCUCCAGUGAGGAAUAUUGCACAAUGGGGGGAACCCUGAUGCAGCAACGCCGCGUGGAGGAUGACGCAUUUCGAUGUGUAAACUCCUUUUAUAUGUCAAGAAAAUGACGGUAGCAUAUGAAUAAGCACCGGCUAACUCCGUGCCAGCAGCCGCGGUAAUACGGAGGGUGCAAGCGUUACUCGGAAUCACUGGGCGUAAAGGACGCGUAGGCGGGUUGGAAAGUCAGGUGUGAAAUCCUACAGCUUAACUGUAGAACUGCACUUGAAACUUCUAAUCUAGAGUAUGGGAGGGGGAGAUGGAAUUAGUGGUGUAGGGGUAAAAUCCGUAGAUAUCACUAGGAAUACCUAAAGCGAAGGCGAUCUCCUGGAACAUUACUGACGCUAAGGCGUGAAAGCGGGGGGAGCAAACAGGAUUAGAUACCCUAGUAGUC